CUUCAGCGAGCCCAGCCAGAGGGGCUGCUCGCGGUCCUGGCCGUAGGUGGCGAGCAGCGCCUCGGCCUC
rnacentral:antisense_RNA from 1 species